rnacentral:rRNA from 1 species
AUUGAACGCUGGCGGCAGGCCUAACACAUGCAAGUCGAGCGGAUGAAGGGAGCUUGCUCCUGGAUUCAGCGGCGGACGGGUGAGUAAUGCCUAGGAAUCUGCCUGGUAGUGGGGGAUAACGUCCGGAAACGGGCGCUAAUACCGCAUACGUCCUGAGGGAGAAAGUGGGGGAUCUUCGGACCUCACGCUAUCAGAUGAUCCUAGGUCGGAUUAGCUAGUUGGUGGGGUAAAGGCCUACCAAGGCGACGAUCCGUAACUGGUCUGAGAGGAUGAUCAGUCACACUGGAACUGAGACACGGUCCAGACUCCUACGGGAGGCAGCAGUGGGGAAUAUUGGACAAUGGGCGAAAGCCUGAUCCAGCCAUGCCGCGUGUGUGAAGAAGGUCUUCGGAUUGUAAAGCACUUUAAGUUGGGAGGAAGGGCAGUAAGUUAAUACCUUGCUGUCUUGACGUUACCAACAGAAUAAGCACCGGCUAACUUCGUG